GGGGGUGUGGCUUAGUUGGUAGAGCACUUGCCUAGCAUGCAAGAAGCCCUGGGUUCUAUUCCCAGCACCACAU